rnacentral:rRNA from 1 species
AGCUCCAAUAGCGUAUAUUAAAGUUGUUGCGGUUAAAAAGCUCGUAGUUGGAUUUCUGUGGAGGACGGCCGGUCCGCAUUUUGUGCGAGUAUCUGGUACGGCCUUUACAUCCUCUUGUGGAACGUUGCGGUGCUUCAUUGCAUUGCGCGGAAUGCAAGACUUUUACUUUGAGGAAAUUAGAGUGUUCACGGCAGGCAUGCGCCUUGAAUAUAUUAGCAUGGAAUAAUAAUAUAGGCUUUUCGCCCUAUUUUGUUGGUUUCUAGAGCGAAGAGAAUGGUUAAUAGGGAUAAUUGGGGGCACUCGUACUAGAGCGUCAGAGGUGGAAUUCUUAGAUUGCUCUAUGACGAACUACUGCGAAAGCAUUUGCCAAGGAUGUUUUCAUUGAUCAAGAACGAAAGUA